ensembl:lncRNA
GUUGUUAGCUAAUGGGGCCUUACUGAAAUCCCCAAACAACCCGGGCUGUUGCCAGUAAGCUGCUCUCUACAGACUGACAGCCAGGGUCCAUUAUUAAAGACAACACCCGCACAACUAAAUAGAAAUGGAGACGACGACGAGAUGGUGUUUACAUACAGCCUUAAUGCCUCCUACAUCCCAGCAUCUUUGUUACAGAAACUUACUCUGCAUGCUCUCAAAAGGGAAGCGUAAACGCCAAGGUGGCCCCCAAACUUCUCUCCAGUGAUGUCCUGCCUGCAAGACGACUAAGGCAAUGGUGGCGCAAAGCUUGUGGGAGCAAAUCACCAAUCAGUGCCUUGUUCAACCGUCCUCCGAGAAGCUUCCUCCUGUUGAAGAUGGGAACAAACACAAAGACCCACAGCCAGAUAUUAUGCAGAGAGUAGAGUCCUUGGAACACGAAGCCCUCAAUGGUUUACCACAAACAAAUCCCUCUCUCGAGAACCCAGUAAACCCCAAAGAAUACUAGGCAGAAAAGGGGUAAGAGCUAGAGAGGUUGGAGGACACCAAGAAAUCAAGGGCCUUUAAAUCAACAUGAGAACAACUCAUAGGAACUCAGAGACUGACACAGCACGGGACCUGCAGGAGUCUCCACCCAGUCCUCUGUCAAUAUAUUGCGGAUUCAAAUUUCGUGUGGUUUUAUGGAAUUCCUGAGUGUGAGAAUGAGUUUGUCUCUGAUUCUUGUGAGUUCUAUUGCUAUUUUUUAAUAUUUUAUUUAUCUAUUGAUUGAUUGAUUGAUUGCCUUGCCCAACUGUGAUGUAAUAGAUUUUGUUUUAUCUUAUUCUAUUUUACUUUUAAAUAAUUAAUGAAAACCUAGUAACAGCAGUAAAGGUUAACAGCUGAAUUGUCACCUACAUCAGGUAGAAGGGGGAAAAAUUGGUUCCCUCAAAUAGUGUGAUAACUGUGAAAGGAUCAUUUAUUCAACUCAAGUUGCCAUCUUGGAAGCAUACUGCUUCUGUCUGCUAACCCAGGGAUAGUCCUGGAAGCUCCUAACCUCUGCAAAAUCUUAUCUAGGUCUAGAAUGCUCUCAGCCUCUGACACUUAACUGAUGAUUAUGCCUACACUUUCUGGCCUUUCUGAACUCUCUCUCUCGCUGACUCAGCUCCGAGGUUCGGGCUCACAAUCCUCUCCAAGCUGACUGAUUUAAUUUGGCUUCUCCCUCAGCCUCUUGACUCUACUCUGCUUGGCCUCAUACUUACUCUGGCAAUGUUUGAUGCUUUUCAAUUGUUGUCUUUGUAUGAAAUAAAAGUAAGGUUAACUCGUAGUUUAGACAAACUACAUUAUCCCAAUUAUUUAAACCAUAAAGGAGCAUCAAAUGCAGUAAAGUAUUCACUUUUCACAUAGAAUAUUAUAGAAUCUAGGGACAGAAUAUUAUAAAGAAAUCCAGACUUAUGUUCAGCCAGUUAAAUUCAUCCUAAUUGUUAUUUAAUCUAAAUGAGAACCUUGGUUAUACCUCCCAUAAAAUAUGCACUUAUUUCAAUAAUAUUAGCAGCAUGAACAGAACUCUAAAUUAGUAUAUGCACAGAUAUAUAAUAUGUACAAUGUUAAAAUUUAAAUUUACAGUUUUUCAUUUUUCAUGGACUCUAAAGAAAUACACUUUUAUAGUCAUUGAAAAAAUAUUAUAAAAAUAUCAGGUGUUUUAUGUUGAAUCAUGAUUAGGGGUUAUAAGCAUGCUUUUUUUUUCCUAAGAGAAAAAUGGUUUUUAUUGUGUAAGAAUGCAGUAAUGUAUUUCUUUUCUCACUUUUAUACCUCCAUAAAGUAGUUCUUUGAAAUUAUUAUAGAAAAAGAAAGUGCCUAAAUGCAUUUAAAUUUCAUUUUGCUAUCCGCAAAAAAAAGUGACUAUUCCACAGAUAAGUAUACCCCAAAAUGGUAAAUAACCCAUUAUGCAUGGAACUCACUGUAAAACCAUAAAAUCCUGCACACUCAGCACUCCAUGCCAUCAGAAUCAUUUUUUCUUUACUAGCAUCAAAACUUACUUUUUAUUAGACCUAAAAUGCCCUGUAUUCCACACAAACUUACUGUAUUUUAGAAUGCAUGUGGGGAGGGGCAGAAAGGUGAGG